rnacentral:rRNA from 1 species
AAAUGCUACCGAUUAUGGAUGGACCCGCGUCUGAUUAGCUAGUUGGUGAGGUAAUGGCUCACCAAGGCGACGAUCAGUAGCCGGCCUGAGAGGGUGAACGGCCACACUGGAACUGAGACACGGUCCAGACUCCUACGGGAGGCAGCAGUGGGGAAUAUUGCACAAUGGAGGAAACUCUGAUGCAGCGACGCCGCGUGAGUGAAGAAGGUCUUCGGAUCGUAAAACUCUGUCCUUGGUGAAGAAAAAAAUGACGGUAGCCAAGGAGGAAGCCCCGGCUAACUACGUGCCAGCAGCCGCGGUAAUACGUAGGGGGCGAGCGUUGUCCGGAAUUACUGGGCGUAAAGGGCGUGUAGGCGGGAAUGCAAGUCAGAUGUGAAAUGCCGAGGCUUAACCUCGGAGCUGCAUUUGAAACUGUAUGACUUGAGUGCAGGAGAGGUAAGUGGAAUUCCUAGUGUAGCGGUGAAAUGCGUAGAUAUUAGGAGGAACACCAGUGGCGAAGGCGACUUACUGGACUGUAACUGACGCUGAGGCGCGAAAGCGUGGGGAGCAAACAGGAUUAGAUACCCUGGUAGUCCACGCCGUAAACGAUGGAUACUAGGUGUGGGAGGUAUCGACCCCUUCCGUGCCGGAGUUAACACAAUAAGUAUCCCGCCUGGGGAGUACGGCCGCAAGGUUGAAACUCAAAGGAAUUGACGGGGGCCCGCACAAGCAGCGGAGCAUGUGGUUUAAUUCGAAGCAACGCGAAGAACCUUACCAGGUCUUGACAUCUCUCUGAUAAGAGAUUAGGGGGUGCCUGCUUGCAGGAGCCCAGACACAGGUGGUGCAUGGUUGUCGUCAGCUCGUGUCGUGAGAUGUUGGGUUAAGUCCCGCAACGAGCGCAACCCUUAUUGCUAGUUGCCAUCAUUAAGUUGGGCACUCUAGUGAGACUGCCGGAGACAAUUCGGAGGAAGGUGGGGAUGACGUCAAAUCAUCAUGCCCCUUAUGUUCUGGGCUACACACGUGCUACAAUGGGUGUAACAACGGGAAGCAAGCUGGCAACAGCAAGCCAAUCCCUGAAAAGCACCCUCAGUUCGGAUUGUAGGCUGAAACCCGCCUACAUGAAGUUGGAGUUGCUAGUAAUCGCGGAUCAGCAUGCCGUGGUGAAUGCGUUCCCGGGUCUUGUACACACCGCCCGUCACACCAUGGAAGUUGGGGGGACCCGAAGCCAGUGAUCCAACCGUAAGGAGGAAGCUGUCGAAGGUAAAACCAAUGACUGGGGUGAAGUCGUAACAAGGUAACCA